AAAAUGUGUAAUUUGGUAUAAAUACAGCAUAAAAGUUGCAACACAAACAAACACGUGUUAUAACCAUUAGAUAUGAAAGUCUUUGCUGUUGGAGUGAUAAGUCUUUGUCUGUAUGGCAUUGCACUUAGCUGUAUUCCAUGCAACCUGCACACUGAUGACUGCACCAAACCAUGUCAAUAUGUUGGUGACGAACCCCACUGUCACUAUAAUAAUUCGUUUUCAAACUGCUGUUUCUGCGAAAUUCCGAUUGAGUGCCAUCCUUCAAAUGUUACUAUAGCGUGUCCAGCACAAUGUACAUGCGAACCUCAUGGAGAACACCAUCACUGCAUAUGUCCUCAAUAAAGACGACUACCAAAAGAUGUACGGAUAUGUAGAAUACUGCUGCAUUUUUGUGUCCAGACGAGUACCAGUAUAAUGUACAUUUAUAAGCUCAUGUGAACAUUCGUGUUGUGUUUUAAAAAACUAUAAUGUUGUUAUAUUUCAUUGUUUAAAUAACGUCACUUAUUUCUUAUCAGUUUGUUAAUAUUACUUCUCAAAACUGUAACGGCUUU